UACGAAGGGGGCUAGCGUUGCUCGGAAUCACUGGGCGUAAAGCGCACGUAGGCGGAUUGUUAAGUCAGGGGUGAAAUCCUGGAGCUCAACUCCAGAACUGCCUUUGAUACUGGCGAUCUCGAGUCCGGGAGAGGUGAGUGGAACUGCGAGUGUAGAGGUGGAAUUCGUAGAUAUUCGCAAGAACACCAGUGGCGAAGGCGGCUCACUGGCCCGGUACUGACGCUGAGGUGCGAAAGCGUGGGGAGCAAACAGG
rnacentral:rRNA from 1 species